CGAUCCCAUCCCGAACUCAGCAGUGAAACGAUGCAUCGCCGAUGGUAGUGUGGGGUUUCCCCAUGUGAGAGUAGGUCAUCGUCAAGA
rnacentral:rRNA from 1 species